CAACAAAGGGUGUAGAUACGACAUGUUUAGCGUAAUAAAGGAAAGAGGAAUAAAAAGGACUUGAAAUCCGAGUGGGGAUAAAGUGCAGGUUCAAACACUGGCUGAUUCAUGACUUGGUGACAUUACAGGUAGUGCUAACUUACAACACAAACAUAAGGAAGAGCAGGGCUGUUGGUGUGCAGAAAAACAGAGAGUACAAUUAUGUUUAUGACAAAACACUGACAUCUGCUUAUUUCUUUACACUAACCUUACCAUUCAUCCUCUUUUCUCCAAAACUACAAACUACACUUUCACUUCUUAGGUGAGCAGCAUAUAAAAAUAAACUUUGUCACAGAUGGAGGUGGAGACGGUGAAGAAAAGGUCCGUUUGUUAGCUCGUCCAGAGAGUUCAUCAUGUACAUUUAGUAAAUCAUCAUGUAAAGAAAUACGCAAACAAGAAAACUCCCUGAAAGUGAAGCUCCCCCUUCUGGUUAACUGCAGAAUAGGUGAUAAAGCCCGACUCCUCCAUGUAAACAGAUGGGACAUACUUUAAAUGAAAUAUACAUCAAAUAGAUUUUUCUAAAACACGGUUUAUGAUAUUUAAUUUAGCAUCGAUUGUGCUAAUUUAUGGUGGAGGGUGAUGGGCUGGCGGUAGCGGCGGACAGUGGGCUACAGGGGCAGAGUGGGGGGCGCGGCAGCGGCAGGCUGUGGGGGAGAGGAAUACGCUGGGUGGAGAGGAGCCACAGUCGUCUUACUCAGCUUUCUCUUCCUCCUCAUCAUCCCUGCAUUAGGAAAUAAGUAACAAUCAUCUUACUUCAUUCGUUUAAAAACUAACACUAAAAUACAAAGCUGCCAAAUUUAAAAUAUGUAAUAAAGUGAGUGUCAUGAAGCAGCAGAUGUUAUUGAUAAUCUGUUGAACUGGACGAAGUGUUCGUUUUAAAAGGCUUAUUCCAACAUUAUUUUGUGUUUCAAAAACAUGUUUCUGUUCAUAAUAACUUUGUGAAGCAGUUCUUACCAUGGACUGUAUCAACCAUAGAGGUCAUCAUCACUGUCUGAAGCCACUCCGAGAACAGCACCCUCUGGUGUCGGGCUGCGGCAUAGGUCAUAAAUCCCGCCUCUUCCAGCAAUCUCUAUGGAGCUGUGGACAAACUUUAGAAAUUAAUUACGCACACAGAAUAUACAUGUUUCUCCUCCCUGCUUGUGAUGUUGACAUGUAGUUACUGUCAGACUGGUUUGUGCUCAAGUCCUCUUUUUUCUGUGCAGCUCAGUUUUUAAAAGUUAUUAGGGGGUUCAUGUUUUCUAUGAUUGACACCUGAUACAGCCUAUAGGCGUACGAAGAUUGCGUAGCUCAUCUGGGGGAAACGCUGUUUGAGCGGAGUGUCAUCACAGAGACUCUACCGCCGAAUAUGUACAACACCACUAUGAAAGUGGUGAUUGCAGGGAAGAGGAGAAAAUCCUGGAAAUACCGAGAGCAGUUUGGCUUCAAAUCCAUAUCCUGAAUUCUGAGCUGAAUUGUCCAUAGUAUAUGCAGUCUCCUUUAAAGAAAUGUAAUCAGCUGAUCUGUUUGAUCUUGAUUCAUGGUGGCUGAAGGUGAUGGAGAGGUGGUGGACCAGGGUUAACAAAAAACUGGUGAUCUGGACUCUCUGGAGCAGCAUGACAUUUCCUUAACAUGAGAUUUAUUCAUGUUCACAUGGUCGUCUAUUUAACUCAUGCUUUGAAGUUUGCCAACAAAUUGUUAUUACAGUGAUAUAUAAAUGUUGGUAAUGGCUUACAUGGAUGUGGAGGUUCCACUGAAAUCACUGACUGCCGUUGUCAAACUUGGUUUUUCUGUAAGCCUACCCCUCUUUCCCAGGUUUGAAUUUUGUGUGGCGCUCAUGUCUACAUGUUUCAGUCCCUAAUAAAGGGUUAAAACUGCAAACAACAUUACAACCUCCCUGAGUGUCAGAGUGCUUAUAAUAGUGUUUAAAACUUCAUCAAAUCUAUUCCAGAAAAGUAAUAAUUGAAUAAAUGUCAUUUCACUCACAGCUUUGGUGGGAUCUUGGUGUGACCAGCUGCUUCACACCACUUUGCUGUUUGCUCCAUUUUCUGUUCGUCCAUGUUUCCAUCCCUACAACAAGAAAUUCACUUAAUCAGAACUAAAUUCAACAUUAACAGCAAACCCUUGACUGCUACAACGAUGUGCACAAAUGACUGAAUGCUGUGGAGUUUGAACGAAUAGUUGUGAGAACUUUCAUUCUGAUCUGAGACAUGCACCAAAGCGACUGAGAAAAACUGUAAGAGUUCAUCUUUAACUCAAACUGUUUGCAAGAGAAAAGUUUUGAUCAACACUUACUGGAGAGAGCGUGUUUCUGCCUUCUUAAAAUUGGUUGUCACAUCUUUUGAGCAAUCGCUCUGAGAGGCAGAUCCAGAUGAGGUGCACUGGCUUCUGGAGAUGAGUUUAGAGAAGAGAAGCUCAUUAAGAUUUAGGUCCAUGACUGCUGGACAAAACCCACAGAGCAGGAUCAGUCCAGAGAAAACUCAUUUUGAUCAGCCUGAAUCCUGGAGUAUCAGAAAAUCUUGCAUCUGAUUUAUAAUGAGAUUUUUGGACCCACUUAGAAUAACAAAUAAGAUUUAACAUGUCAACUGUGUGACCCAUCAUAAAAGAUAUACAACCCAAAAUGUUAGGGUGCUACGAUGAUGAUGAAAAUAAAAACAGAUUUGUAUGAUUUAAAAUAUUUUUAUCUCUAUAUUCAGGAUAAAAAAACAACUUGAUAGACAUCGCAUGUACAUAUCUCACUCAUUACCUCUCUACAAUGAACUUCAUAGUAUCAACUAGGUCGUUUUGAGCACUUUUCCUUUCUUCCCGUGCAGACUUGAGUAGUGGGUUGCUGCAACAAGAAGAACAACAUCAUGAUGUUUUUGUCUAAAAAUAUAUAAUAUUUUUAUUAGGGCCUGACCAAUUAAAUCGGCCAAUUUUAGCCCGUUUGAGACUAAUCGGUAAUCGGCCAAAACUCACCAAUUUUCACCGGCAUUUUCAGAGAUAAAAUGCAGAGAAUAAGAUUCGGUUUCACUUGGAAAAUGUUCCGCCAUUUUAAAAGUUCCCCGACUUAUCCUGUAGAUGGCGCAGCGACCUCAUGACAAUCUUCAUCCACUAACUACCUCACAGCACAGCAGAGUGACGGAUCUGAAGCAGGCAGCUCAGAGACGCACGGAGGAGAGUGGUCCGCCUCAACGGUAAAUAAACCAGUUUGUGAAAUACUCAAUGAGUCAACGAGUCUCAGUUCAACCCACUUCACCAUGUUCCCUGCUGUGCUGGUCUCGGUCACGCCGAGUUAACGGUGAAGCACCAUGUAAUAUGAAGCUAAAGUUAGAGUUAGCCACCUGCUAUUAGCCUUACUACACUGUUAGCCGUGCCAGUAACGGUAGAAUAAACAACAGUACACAAUAGUGAUCGAGCGACUUCUCUUACUGAGGCAGCUGCAUGUCUACAGAUGAGACCGGACCGGAAAUGAGUAACCCCCUCCCCAACAAACAGUAUCGGCAUUGGCCCCAAAAAUUCCAUAUCGGUCAGGCCCGAAUUUAUCUGAAAAGAUAACCAACAGAAUACAACAGAUUGUGGAACAAGCAUGAAUUCAGUUUGUCAUUUUACUAAAUAUCUACCACUGAGGCAACAUUUCAGUCUGAGGAAAAGCUUUUUCUGUUAAAGAUCAACCUCUAUAAUUCCACCAUGGGAGGACACAGUUUUGAAAUUCAAUACUGUUUUCUGAUGGAUCGAUUUACUGGGUGAGUUUGAAGACAGACACUUCAGUUUUUGUAAACACUUACUUGAGACAGGUGCAUUUUCCUUUCUUUUUGAAAAAAGACCAUCGGCCACAGUGACUGAGUUUGGGAAAACAAGAAAAAGAGAGAUUGAGUGGGUAUUAAACCACAGCAUCUACUCCACGCACAAACAUAAAGAUGUAGCAUCAGUCCAUAUGUAUAUACUAUAUAAAAUUCAAACAAAAAGUCACAGUCUUCACUGACCAGUUGUUUGAGAGGUACUCAAUAACAGCUUCUUCAUUUCUUUCUGCACUUUUCAUCGAUCUCUCCGUGGACUCAACCAGUUUAUGACUGCAGCAAGAGAUACAGUUAUAGGAAAAAUGUAUAUACAAUUAACUAUUUGUAUAGAUAGACAGAUAGAAAGAUAGACAGUCGUUAUGAAUGUGGCAUUUUAAUGUUGGUAAACUCCUACCUGAAUCUGUGUAUGAGGUCUUUUGAUCUGUCACUCUUGAAGGAUGAUCCAGACGGACCUGAGAUUUGACUGCCUUUAGAUGAGCUUGGUAGAAAAAGAGGAAGAGACGAAAGUGAUGAAACCACCAUGACGCUGAAAAACUACCAAAGAGUAUCAGUCUAGUAAAGGUCCAUCUUUGUUCUCGCUGAAUAACUGACCCGGCUUUAAACAUGAAAAUCAAACUCCAUUGUAGAAAAUAUGAUCCUGGACCAAAAUGUUUCAGUGUCAUUUAACAGACGCUGUUAUUCAAAUGGAACAAUUUUUGAGGGUAGAUGUUUCAGGACACAUUCACAAUAUAAACAAUACUGAAAUCCAUAAAUAUGUCAAAGUGACAUUAAAUCCCUACAGCUAAAUUUAUGUUCACAACUUUGUUCAUUUGCUGUUUGAAGAAUAAAAUGAUUUUACUCUCAUAGAGUUUGGGAGGUGGUCAGUAAUGGCUGCUUCAUGUGUUUCUGCUCUCUCUCUUUUAUUUAUUUUGUCUUUCAACAUGAAUCUUGGACUGCAGCACAAAAAAAAAAAAACGUGUUUGAAAGAGAAAGGAGAGAGUAUGAUUAUAUGUUAACUCAAUAUGACCAUCUUGUUAUUUGUUGGGUUUGACUUUUCUCUCUGCAGGUCCCUGGAGUCUGCAGUACCUUUGAGGUUAUUCUGGAGAUGUUCGUCUGGACAGUAGGGGUGUAGCAGUUCACCAAAGUCAUGGUUUGGUAUGUACCUGGGUUUGGAAAUCACAGUUCUGUGUGUUUGUGAUCAACCUCUUUAAAAUCACUCACGUUGUCACAGAGCCGUAAUCUGAAUCAAGCUCAUACGGCAACUUCGUCUCUGUUUUCUUCCUCCUUGCCAUGGAGGUCAAGUCCAUCCUGCAACAAAAGCCCAGCGUCAUGGUUAUUCCUCAUCAUUAAAUUAAUAAUUAACAGGAUUCACGUCAAGAAAUAAACUAAAAGAGAUAAUCAGUUAUUAACUAUGUCAUGAAAUAUGAAUCAAAACUGAAACUUUUGGAUGUUUGUUAUGGCAUUUUCAUGAGGGAAGGUUGUCUCUAAACUUUAUCACUUAAAAAGAUCACUGACAUUAAAAAUUAAAUUAAAGCCAGACAUGAAAAUUUGGUAAUUAUCGCCCAAUAUCUAUUCCCUCCUGUUUCUCAAAAGUCCUAGAGAGACUAGUGUACACAACAAUCUUUUAACUGUGAAUAACAUUUUGUAUAAGCAUCAAUAUGGCUUUAAAAGGAAGUACUCUUCAGAGAAUGCAUUACUACAUCUCAUCAGUCACAUCUUCACUGCUCUAAAUAGAGAGAAAUUUGCUCUUGGUGUGUUUUUAGAUCUAUCCAAAAAAUUUGAUACAGUCAUCCAUUCGAUCUUAAUCCCCUUUCUCGACAGAUAUGAGAUCCAGGAUGUAACCCUUCUAUAGUUAUCCAAUUAAUAAGCCAAAAGAGCAAUUAGUCUUUCUAAAUGGAAGCUCAUUGAAUAAAUUGAGAAUUUAACUCGGAAAAAUAUUAAAAAAACCUUUUCUGCAGAAGACCUUUGAAAAUGCUUGGUAUUUUGUUAAAAGUUUAUAAAUCUAUUCAUCCAUCUUCCCAUCUAAGGAUAUAUUAGUUUGAUAUUUCCUUAUCGUAAUUAUUGUAACAUUGUCUGGGGUUCUUCCUGUUCCUCCAUCCUUUCUAAGCUGCUCAUCAUACACAAGAUUUUUUUGAGAUUCCUCACUCCAACUCACAGGAACCUUCUGCCUUUAAUCAGCAGAUUUUUACAUUUUUUAAAAAUAAUCGGUAAUCGGAUCUGCUACUUACAUUGACUCUCUUAUUUUUUACUUUUUAUUUUUUUUCCCAUGUUUUUAUUUGUAAUGCUUAAAUGUAUUUAGUUUUAUCUUUGGAUUUUCUGUUUUUAUCCCCUACUCUGUGAUUCACCGUUCAUGUUCGUUUCAGACAUAAGAGGACUUUGUAUGAGACUUCCCUUCCCUCUCUGCACUCUGUUGUUAAUUAUUCAUCGAUUGUGUUUUCAUUUUUUUAAAUAUGGAGCAAACAAAUAAACUAAACGUAACUAAACUGUUUUGUUUAUCUUCUGUUGGAGGAACUCAGUGUUACCAGUAAUGAGUGUCACUGUAAUAAGACAAAUGUGACAAAAUGGAGGCAGUUAAGAGGAAAAUAGUAAAACAGAAAAAACAUUGUGUGUUUUUGCAACAUUGCCUUGAAUCAAUAACUGUUAUUCAAGUUCACAUUUAAUGACUUACUGCUUUAGGUGCCUCAGAAGAUCAACAGGCCCCUCCACAGACUCUCUGUGGACUAUUGUCUCCAAUCUUUCAUGUUGCUGCAAAAACAAACACAAAGAACAAAAAAAGACCUUUCCAGUCUUCUCUUGAACAACAGUUGUAUUUUAUCAUGAUAGUACAGUUUAAUUUAUCAUAAUGUAACACUGACUAAGCAGCACAUUUCCAACCUAUCAAAUAACGAAAACUGACAACCUCAGAAGCGAGCGGUCAGUAACAGUAUUUUACCACAAACAGCCAACAACAACACAGCAGACAGAGGCAGAACACAACAGGAAACAGAAGUACAACAGUACAGUAAAACACCCUGAACAUUUCAUCUGAAAUUUAAAGAACUAAAACAGGACAACACAUCUUUGUUUUAACUUUUAAGCAUAUAACAUAAAAAGCACACGCACACACACACACUGCAAUAAAUGUAUAGUAUCCAAACUAAUUGCCUGAAAAUUUACUAUUUGAACAACAAAACACCAAUUUUCUAUGAACUGAGAGAAACACCAUCUGAACUCUUAUCCCCUAAACAGGUAGGCCAAGAAAAUCAACAAUGGUGAGGGUCCGACAUGUUUGUGUGUUGAGCCAGAGCAAACUUCACUUUAUUCAACUAACUCCAUUAAACUGAAACUACGUUUCUAAAUAGUAUAAUUUACCCAUCUUAGGCCUUUAAAACCAAUAUCACCCUUCAAAACAGUUUGCCUACUUACCUGUAUUAUCAAGACAUUCCUGCGAGCGGAGCACCUUGCCCAAAGGGCCUCGCGGAAAAUCUCUCCUCCCUCCUCCAUUUCUUGAGUUCUCCACAAACCUCUUCAGAUUCCUGGAUUCCAGAUUCUUGUACAACCAAACAAAAGAGCAAAUGUAAAAUGAAAAACAUCUGAUGAAGAAAAAGGUUAGAGUAUUUUAAAGUGAGGGACUACAGACCUGCAGACGGUAGAAAAUAAACUCCCACACAAACUGACAAAUUGAAACCUUAAGUUUACCUGUCAGGUGUUUUGACUCCUCCUACUUUACUCUUACAGGGACAGAUACAUAAACUAAGUUACAACAGAGAGAUCCAUAAACAAACUACAGUGAAAAAGAGCAGUUUUUGUUCCUCUAAAAUCAGACUGUGUUUAAUAUAAUAACAAAACAGACUUUCCUCAUUUUUCCACACAGCUUAAACUGUUUUUUCAUGUUUUCUUGUCUCAGCUCUUUUACAGUCAGCUUGUUGAGUUGUAGAUGGUUAUAAGAAUUACUCAGAAACAUGUGAAGCUGAAAUAAACUUCUUACAUCCAUCUAAAACUCCUAGAGGGACUUUCUUUUGUCAUUAACAUGGCAGAAAUCAACCACAGACCCCCACCCACCCACCCAGCACCAUGACACAGACACCACAAAUGUAUAAACACUUGAUUUUAUUCAUAACAGAAGAAUCCAACAAAGGGUGUAGAUACGACAUGUUUAGCGUAAUAAAAGGAAGAAGAGGAAUAAAAAGGACUUGAAAUCCGAGUGGGGAUAAAGUGCAGGUUCAAACACUGGCUGAUUCAUGACUUGGUGACAUUACAGGUAGUGCUAACUUACAACACAAACAUAAGGAAGAGCAGGGCUGUUGGUGUGCAGGAAAACAGAGAGUACAAUUAUGUUUAUGACACAACACUGACAUCUGCUUAUUUCUCUACACUAACCUUACCAUUCAUCCUCUUUUCUCCAAAACUACAAACUACACUUUCACUUCUUAGGUGAGCAGCAUAUAAAAAUAAUCUUUGUCACAGAUGGAGGUGGAGAAAAACCAGGGAAGACACGAAGAGGUCAAAAAAUAUAAGUACUGUGAAGCCAAUGAUACGUGGUAAGUAUUCACAAACAAAAAUAAUUUCUUUUUUCGGAGUAAAGUCUGAGAUUUUUGUGUUUGGACAAAUUUGACUCAUCAUCUCAAGGUCCGUUUGUUAGCUCGUCAUCAUGUAAAGAAAUUCGCCAAACAAGAAAGCUCCCUGAAUGUGAUGCUCCCCCUCCUGGCUGUCUGCGGUAUUGUUGAUAAAGCCCACCUCCUCCAUGUAAACAGAUGGGACAUGAGCGAAACUUUAAAAUGAAAAAACACAUCACAUAAAUUCUUCUCAAACCUGGUUUCUGAUAUUUAAUUUAGUGUUGAUUAUGCAAACUCUUGCCCAAGCAUCAAUUUAACUGAAAAUGUUAGUUUUGACUAGUUAUGGGAUGCUAAUUAUAAGGCCAUGACUGACAGCUAUAUUCGCAAAUAUGGAGCCUAAUGCACUAAAUUAUCUGGGUAAUGCAACAUCAUGAAAACUAACACCUUAUCUAUCAAAGAUCUGAUCUGAUGGGCUGUUUUUUCUCUGUGCAGUUUUACCAAUAAUUUAAAUGUUUAAACUGCUCUGACUAUGGAGACUUAAAAAUAUGGAUUUAUGAGGAUGAGUAAAAGGCAGUGUGUUUUUAACUCUGCUACCAACAUCAGGUAAAACCCAGAUUAAAAGGUUAAACAAUUGAAAUGGAAAUAUUCCGUAAAAAAAUCAAGUUUAACACAAAUCUGUGGCCCGAUAUCCACAGUCCUCCAAAGACUCUGUUAUUUACUGCACAAAAAUGAAGUUUUACCGUCAUUCUCCAACUGCAACCUACUCCAUAGUCCAUAUAAAGGAGUAAGACAAUCACACACGAGGCAACAUACUGGGCUCACCACAUUUGUUCGGCAUUUCUCAACUUUCACUAUCACAGCACAAACUCAAUUUUUUUCUAAAAUAGGUCCUUGGAAGCGCAACUACCAACCUGCCGCACACAUCCUCGCUUUGGGUUAUUAAAAUAAAGAAUCUUUAAAUUAAAAAAGAAAAAGGAAAAACACACAGUUUAAGUCUUCGAGUGAGGACGAAAAAAAUGACCGUUUACAAAUAUUACAAAACCGUCAUCAUCGUACGUCUGCUAUGAAAACUACGAGUACAUACAUGUCCUGUGUUAAAGAAGAAACGGUUAACAAAAUAGCUUAUACAAAACUUCAAUACAUGAAUUUACAUUUAAAGCAUUUUUGUGUGUCACUAGAAUCAGUGAAGAGUCUGUAGUUUCCUCGCAGAGACGCAGAGGCCUAGAAGAUAAAAAUCUGUAAAUACUCGUAGCGGAGAGGAAACAGAAACACGUCACUGAAAACGUUUUCUUAUUCGCGCUGGAACUCAAAAGUUAUAAUGUAGAUCUUUGUACGGAUGGGAAAAUAUCACGAUUGUUGUUGUAGAUAAAUCUGGGAUGUUCUUUGCAUCUCGUAAUCAUCUUUAAGUUGAACUUUUUAUGUCAACAGUUGCAGGUUUGUGGACAUAUUUUGUGUUGUCUGAUGAAACUGAUCAAACCCACUUUUAAAUAAUUGUAUAAAACAGUCCAGAGAAAAUCCUCUUUUUCUGGAAGAUCUGUGUUCAGACUGGUUCAACUAUCCAGCAUCACACCUCUGGAAGAAGAGUCAG